GGCCUUGUGGCGGAAUGGUAGACGCUGAGGACUUAAAAUCCUUUGGGCAUUGCGCCCGUGCGGGUUCAAGUCCCGCCAAGGCCACCA
rnacentral:tRNA from 1 species